UUAGGUUUGGCAUGCUAUCGCGCAUCAACAUCGGACGCUAUGGCACAUUCAUGCCUUUUGUGCCACCCAAGCCCCGAAGUGCUCUGGCAUAUACCUUCACAUGUUUCCCUUCAGUAGGAAAUUGCUAGACCAGCGCACCGGAAUUGUACUGGCGAAUCCACAAGCAAGCCAUAGAAUCUGUGUAAUUGUUGCACUUUGAACAAUCAUGCUUCUACAAAGGCCACAGCAGAAAAACAGCCCGAUUCUGAGUAUUUCUGUGCCACGAAGCAACCAAGAGGCGAGUGCUUAAUAAGGACGGAAUCGAGUGCAUGAACCCACAUAUCAAUAGCGUAGGCGUUUUAUUAACUGUGCAAUAUUUUCAACACUUCCUUGCAUGUCAUUUCAUGUGGCAUAUAUCUUUUCUGGUCACAAAUUUGUGCAGCGAAUCUGUUUGCAUGAUCGACUCCGGGCCUGUGGGGCCGCUCACUUGCGCUUGAUGCCGAGUCUUUUACAUGUAUCCAUAAGCUGCAGAUAUGCACAUCAGAUCCCUACAAGCAUUUUCAAAAUACAAUUAUUUUACACAACACGCACAUGUGCAAUACUGACAAUCUCAAAUACCACUAAGCAGCUGAGACACAUUUUUGUUGAGUAUACUCGCAGGUAAAAUAAGUAGAUCAUGUGGACAGCUCCAGCUCAUUUUCCUUAAUUUAGUGUGUACAAUGAGUAUGCAAAAAUAACUUUUUUUCUCGCGCGCCGAUUAUUUUGCUGUAUAAGCAAGAGAACUCACCACGUUAGUGUAACAUAUGUUCUACAUCACACUAAUAUGCGCUUUAAUUUAUCAAGUGAGAUGAGUUACUAUUAUGGCUCAUUCAGUCCAAUCACACUGCAAGCUACAUUCAUCAAUCUUCUAUUGGAUAUUGCAAAUGUUUAAUGAAACAUGUUUCCCUGUUAUGCAGAUAUGCAAUGGCAAGCCCUUCUGUGUGUUCCAAAGGUAAAAUUUAAGCUCUAAAUUAAAGAAGACAACUCUACUCAAAAACAACAAGCAAAAAUGGUGAAUACAUAGUAUCAGAAGCCCAAGGUACAGAAAUUAUGAGAAGUGUCGAAUGAUUUUAAGAAAGAAUGGUAUUUGAAAAUGCAAGACUCUUUAGUGGAGGUCAAGCAAGUCAAUAUAGGUAGAAUACUCUGCAAAAUUACUCGGGUGAUGGGAUGGCAAACAAUGGGCCAGGAAAUGCGUUGUUUUUCUGCAAAACAAAAGCUGAUGAUUGUCAUUACAUAAGUCACUUUAGCAUCAUGAGGCUGCUGCUUGAUAAAUUCAGAAACAAACCAAAAAACAAGACACGCAAAAAUAAAAAAAAAACAAUUCUCACAUAUACAAAAUAAGGUUCUAUGUAGUUCUCAAUUUAAUGAUGCUCUCUCCACACUGGGAUAAAUAAAAAGAAACGGAUCACAUCUAAUGUAGACAUAUCAGACGCCUUGUGAAAGACUAAAGGAAAAAUUCAGUGUCGAGCUAUGGCACUUGCCGCAUAGAUGUGGGGGGCCUUGCACCAGUAGUGAUAGUUACCACUGCAUUUAGAAAUUGAAAGCAUUCAUGCAGACAAGGAUGAUUCUUUAUAUUUUUGGCUACCACUUCAAAUGCCUCUACCAAGUGUUACAAUGCUGCACGCAGCCAUGCUAAGGAUCUCACAGCAACACUUGCAGGUAAAAAGCAAAAGCAGUCAAAGUGCUGGUGUAUUCUGGACACUAUGUUUGAAAACUUUUAGGCAGAAAGAGUGCAAGAAGCAGACAUAACAACUGCAUUUAUUUCCAUAAUUCCCCAUUUGAAUGGCCUUUUCUUUUUGCUUAGACAAUGCCUACGCCUAGCCACAGCAGCUCCCUCAUGCAGAAUCCGCAAGCCAAGAGGCCGUGGAGGCAAAUGAAGGCAGCCAGCACACCUCGAACCGCCACCUUGACUGCGGGUGUGUCAGCAGAUUCCUGUUGUACAUAUAUAUGCUCAUAAUAAACUUCAGUAAACUUGAACUUGAUAAUAAACUUGAAGGCAAAUGGGACAUUGAUGCAUUGCUUUUUUGAACAUUUAGUGUACACAUAAACGUUAUACUUUGCAGUGCUACAGAGCGUAUUUUGAAGCUUCCCUCUAUAUUUUGCACCUUUAAUUACGUAUGUGUUGUGUGGCCCUCAAUGCAGUUCAUUGUAGCAGCUGCUUUGCCUAUGUAUUGCACAUUGGAUUAAGCUUGUGAUAUCCACAUGUGCAAAAGGCCUAUACUUCUCUCACAUAUACAAAAUAAGGUUCUAUGUAGUUCUCAGUGUUACAA